GACGAACGCUGGCGGCGUGCCUAAUACAUGCAAGUAGAACGCUGAAGGAGGAGCUUGCUUCUCUGGAUGAGUUGCGAACGGGUGAGUAACGCGUAGGUAACCUGCCUGGUAGCGGGGGAUAACUAUUGGAAACGAUAGCUAAUACCGCAUAAUAGCAGUUGUUGCAUGACAACUGUUUGAAAGGUGCAAUUGCAUCACUACCAGAUGGACCUGCGUUGUAUUAGCUAGUUGGUGGGGUAACGGCUCACCAAGGCGACGAUACAUAGCCGACCUGAGAGGGUGAUCGGCCACACUGGGACUGAGACACGGCCCAGACUCCUACGGGAGGCAGCAGUAGGGAAUCUUCGGCAAUGGACGGAAGUCUGACCGAGCAACGCCGCGUGAGUGAAGAAGGUUUUCGGAUCGUAAAGCUCUGUUGUAAGAGAAGAACGAGUGUGAGAGUGGAAAGUUCACACUGUGACGGUAUCUACCAGAAAGGAC
rnacentral:rRNA from 1 species